GGAUAAUACAAACAAUCUUAAAAUUCCUAGGAAACCUCAAAAGACUUCAAGUAACCAAAUCAUUAUUGAAUAAAAAGGAUACAGCUGGAGCCAUCACACUAACUCACCUCAGAAACUUCAAGACCUGACUACCUGACUAGAAAGGCUAUACCAUGAACAUGCUGAUAAAACUACCAGCUGGAAACACACACACUACGUUUCAUAAAAAGGAUCGAUGAUUCAGUAAGUAGAAACAAAAGCACAAAAAGCAGAGCCCGGAUCACGAGGUCAGGAGAUGGAGACCAUCCUGGCUAACACGGUGAAACCCCGUCUCUACUAAAAACACAAAAAUUAGCUGGGCGUGGUGGCGGGUGCCUGUGGUCCCAGCUACUCGGGAGGCUGAGGCAGGAGAAUGGUGCGAACCUGGGAGGCGGAGUUUGCAGUGAGUGGAGAUUGCACCACUGCACUCCAGCCUGGGCAACAGAGCGAGACUCUGUCUCAAAAAACAAACAAACAAACAACAACAACAACAACAACAAAAAGCAGAGCCAAGAAUCGCGGGGAAUUUAUUCCCAGGCCUUGAAAUCCAAUCAAGAAGUUCCCAGUAUUUUCCUGACUGGGUUUCAGAGCUGCCUUAGCCUAGUGAUUCCUUUCUACCUUCCAUUCUCCCCUUUUGCAAUGGUCAUGUUUAUAGUAGUUUAGGAUUAUUAUCAUAUACGGGCCCCACCACCCACUCUCUCUCUAGGUUCUCAAGCUCACAGAUGGGGAGGAAUUUUUCUCUAGGAGAAUAAUUCACCCAGUAGCCUCAUCCAUGCCUUGACUUAAUGUAGACAGAAGAUGAGAUGUUGGUCUCUAGUCAGUGCAAGUGUUUUCCCCUUGGAAGGCACAUGAAUCAUUGGGGCCAGAGGGCAGAUUGUUUCCAAGCAAAGGAUAAGAUAGCCUUCAUGAUUCCUAUAGUCUGGCUGUAUAAAGUCCACUCCUUGAGUGUGAGUGGGACCUUGUAAUUUGCUUCUAGCCAAGAGAAUAUGUUAAAGAUCAUAGGACUUUGCAGAUGUAAUUAAAGUCCCAAAUCAGUUGAUUUUGAGUUCAUCAAAAUCAGGGAGACCUUAUUUCAGUGGGCCUGACUUAAUCAGGUAAAAGGACUUUUAAAAGGUACUGGGCCUUCCCUUAAAACAAAAGACUUCCUUUGCCAGCUUGAUGAGACAAGUGUCGUGUUGAAAAGGAACCCACAACAAGCACCUGCAGAAUGCCUCUAGGAACUGUCUGUGAUCUCAGGACCUGAGAGCUGCCUCUAGCUGACAGCCAGCAAAAAGCCACAUGGAAAGUAUUUAUACCAACAACUGAAAUGAACUUGGAUAAAAAUGGGUUUUUCCCCAGUUAAGCCUCCAGAUGAGAAUGCAACCCAUGCCUGGACUGAACCCUGGCAAGACUCUGAAUAGUGGAUCCAGCUCACCUGUGCCUAUACCCAGACCCAUGGAAACUGUAAAAUAUUAUGUAUAUUGUGUUUUAAACCCUGGAGGUUGCAGUAAUUUGUUAUACAGCAAAGAAAAACAAUACAUAGUUGUUUUUUGAAAUGUUGUAACUCUGAAAUAAUAAAAUGAAGAAUGCACUCUAAUUAUUAAAAUUUUCUUAAGAUGGCAAGAGAAUGCAUUAAUCAAAUAAGAAGGUAUACAAAAUUCAAAAAUAACCAAAGGGUGGCAAAUUGUAGGUAAAUCAGUCAUUAGAAAACUGAGCAGAAGUCAAAAUUAUUAUUAAGCAAAAUUGGUUUAUAGGAAAUAGGACUGUGUCAAUAGAUGACAACAGCAUGUGAUUAAUGGCUAACUAAAUAAUAAUUGUCAAUGAGACUAGUGGAGAUUCCCAAGACAGAGCGUUAAUGUGGCCAAAGUACUGCAGGAAGAGAGAUAGAGAAGUUGGCCCCAGCAUCUAGAUGUUCAGGCCUUAAGGAUGAUACAAGCCUCAAUGGCCUUAGAAGAGGGAGGAACAAUUCUAGACAGAGGAACACACCUAAGAAGUGUCACAUUUCCAAGUUUAUUCUUACAUUUUGAUUUGUUUACAUAUUCCCUGAAACAACUUUGCAAUUUUUCAAACUAGUACUACUUUAAAAAAUUAUCUGUUUCUUUAUGGGUGUGCAUAUGUGUGUGAUGUGUGUGUGUGUGCAUAUUCACAUACAUAUAUAGGUGCAUUUGGGUGUAAAGUUGCAAACCUUUGAGGUUUAUUGAAUUUAAUCAUGUGAGUGUGUACUUGCCUGUAUAUUUAAAAACUGGAUAAAUUGUGGUAAAUUGCUUGUCAUAAAUGUCGUUCUACUUUUCCUUACGUUCAACAUGAAAUUCAAGAAGCUUAUAAAAUGUCUGGGAAACUAGUAUAGUCUAAGUGGAUUUCCCUUGCUUUGAUUUCAGUGAAAUAGCCAGGUGUCUAUUUUAAGCUGAAUUUGUGCUUUAAGAAAAAGAAAAGAAAUAGUGCUAAGGAAUUCUCAUUGGCCCAGGAGGUUAGAAAGAGAUAUUAAUUCUACCUCUACAAAUCAUCAAUUUGAUUCGGUCCAGGUUGGCAAUUUCUCAGAACAUCUGUCUGAUCACUCUUUAGUGGUCAGUAAAUGAGGAAAUCCAGAUGUUCUUAGUUUAGUAGAGAUCCAUCAUCUGAAAUGUCCCCAAAGUGCCUGUAAGCCCCUAUGUAUGUAGAGGUCAUAUUCAAGUGGACGAGGGAACUCUGAGAAUCUUUUUUCCCAGGUAUGGCUUCUAAGUGAUGGACAUGCUGUCUUAGCACCUUCCUUACCUGGUCAAGUGGAGAGAACCCUUAACCCUACUUCUCAGACCACACCCCUGAACCACUCUUCGGAGGUGGGGAGCACAAUUUACAUGUGCAGCUACCUGCCCUGAUGGAAAUCAGUUGAGUAGGGAGUCUGGGAAAUGAACCUUUGUUUUUGUUCAUACAGCUCUACCAACCCAAGCGUUUAUGAGUAUCUUUCUGUGUUCUCUUCUGCCAAGGAAAUGCUUUCUUCUGAGAAUAUUUUCUCCUUAAUGUUGAUCUCAUACUAUGAAGGAGAUUUACGGUAAAUGUUUCUAACAGAAGGUCAGUUGUAGACAGAUAUUAAAAUGUAUUAGUCUAAAAUUGCCAUUUUUUAAUGAAAAGCAGAUUUUCUUUACCAUCAUUUUCUAUGACUAAAAUACAGAAAAGGCAAAUGACUUAGAGUCGCUGAAAUACAUACUGAUAAGUGGUCUAGGAGGUUUGAAUAUAAAGUAAUAAUUCCAAUAUGGGAGUCCAGCAUUUAGAAAUACCAGUGCCUGCAUAAAUACCAAUGUGAAAAAUUCUAAAAUUGUCACUCUUUAAAAAUUAUUAUUCUUAGCCUUGUAAUACAGAGGUCAGCUUAGUGAUGUUCUGUAAAGGAGAUUGGAAAGGGAUGGUGCUUUAAGAUACUUAUGACAUUUAACCAAAUAUACGUCAUGCUAAUAUUAUUUUGUUUUGGGAGGCCUUAAAUACAUUGCUCACGAUGAAAGUAUUUAGGGGUGCUUCUUGGGUAUUUGCAGCACUAUGUGGAUAUUUUCUCAUAUUUAGCUCAUUUUGGAGUAACCCUUUGAUGGAAACAUUACCCUUCAGAAGUUCUUUUUAAAUCAGAGCAGCAGCAGUCUAUAGAGUACACACAUCUAUGAUGGCUUCAGUGGUACUAGGUGAUGAGAAUUGUUCAGCUCAAUUAUAAUCUUAGGGGACCACGCUUGUCUAGGCAGUCCAUCAUUGACUGAAAUGCUGUCAUGCAGCAUAUGGCUAUAUAUACAUGUAUCUUUCAUUUAUCCAAAUAGUGUUUUCACAAGUAUUGUUUUAUUGUUCUAUACUUUAGUCUGUAUACUUUAAACUUAGCUACUCAGUAUGAAAUAUAUUAGGAUUAUUAAAACAUUGUUUUAGAGCAACUAAUCCACCUCACUUUUGCCAGGCUUCUGGCUCCAACUGAGAAGGGCAGAGCUGUAUGAAAGUGAAUACGUUUAAAUUGUGUAGACCAGUGCUAAGUGAAAAGUAUGAGACUCCCAGAUUUCAAGCUCUCUGACUCUUUGGUAAUCAUUUCUUAUCCUUUGCGUAAUUCAUCAAAGCUUUUAAAUAAAGGAAUUUUCCAGUUUUAUUUAAACUGGUAUCUUUUUUAUUCCUGUGGUAUAAUUCAAGGGGAAGUCAGGAAUGAUUCCUCAAAAGAACAUGAUUUGAAAAACAAGCAGAAUAUUUAGUGCCAUUAAAGCCACUUCCAUAAAAUUUCAGGUUUAAGAGGGUUUGAGGAAGCAUCUGUAAAAAUCUUUUGCCGUCCCUUGCUAUUAUUCAAUCUUAGCUUGAAGAUAUUACACAGAAAGGAAGGAUUAUCCUUUUUAUUGAAAACUUCUUUUUCUCCAGCCACAUACGGUCAUUUCAUUUGCCAAGAGAAUAUGUCAUCAUAAAGAAAUACCACAAAGAAUGAACAUUUGAAUUGCAAAUGCUUAAAGCAAAAUGUGUAGAUUUUGUUUGAAAUAUCAAACAUUUGGAUGAGGGGCCACUGACUUAAUGAUUGAUUCCCAAAGGUGUUCAAGAGUAAUUUUUGAGAAAAAAAAAUAAA